rnacentral:rRNA from 1 species
GUACACUCCUGCGGGAGGCAGCAGUGGGGAAUUUUGGACAAUGGGCGAAAGCCUGAUCCAGCAAUGCCGCGUGUGUGAAGAAGGCCUUCGGGUUGUAAAGCACUUUUGUCCGGAAAGAAAUCCUUGGCUCUAAUACAGUCGGGGGAUGACGGUACCGGAAGAAUAAGCACCGGCUAACUACGUGCCAGCAGCCGCGGUAAUACGUAGGGUGCGAGCGUUAAUCGGAAUUACUGGGCGUAAAGCGUGCGCAGGCGGUUUGCUAAGACCGAUGUGAAAUCCCCGGGCUCAACCUGGGAACUGCAUUGGUGACUGGCAGGCUAGAGUAUGGUAGAGGGGGGUAGAAUUCCACGUGUAGCAGUGAAAUGCGUAGAGAUGUGGAGGAAUACCGAUGGCGAAGGCAGCCCCCUGGGCCAAUACUGACGCUCAUGCACGAAAGCGUGGGGAGCAAACAGGAUUAGAAACCCUUGUAGUCCC